rnacentral:rRNA from 1 species
UUAGCAUGGAAUAAUAAAAUAGGACGGCAUGGUUCUAUUUUAUUUGUUUCUAGGAUCACCGUAAUGAUUGAUAGGGGCAUUAGUAUUCAAUUGUCAGAGGUGAAAUUCUUGGGUUUAUUGAAGAUUAACUUCUGCGAAAGCAUUUGCCAAGGAUGUUUCAUUAAUCAAGAACGAAAAUUUAGAGGAUCGAAGACGACCAGAUACCGUCGUAGUCUUAACCAUAAACUAUGCCGACUAGGGAUCGGACGAUGUUAAUUUUUUAAUGACUCGUUCAGCGCCUUACA